GUGAACACUUAUUAUGUGCCCUGCACUGUUAUAAACACUUUUCCGUGUAUUCUCAUUUAAUCCUCAAACUAAUAUUAUCCCUAGUUAUAGAUUAGUAAACUGAGGCUUAGAGAAGGAAAAUAAUUUGACCAAGUCGAGACGGACUGUGGCAGACCAGAUGUGAACCCAGACAGUGUGACCCCCAACUCCCUGUGCUUACCCUUCGUGGAAAAUCAUCACUUGCCUGGAAUAGUCCCGAGGAGGGGUGAUGGAGACGUGUGAGAUGGAGAAGAGGGAAGAGCUUCAGGAGGCGGACAGUGGGGAGAAAUGCCUGGACUUGAUUAUAAGGAGACAUGAGCAGGGAGAGAGAGGGGUCUCAGGACAAAGCAUCCAGAACAGGAAGAGCUCAAACAAACACAAGUCAUCUUCCAGGCAGCAGGAUUGUAUUUGAAUAUUGAGGGUCUACCUGCUACAAUCCAGGGGAACCCAUCUGCAGGCAGGAAUUUGGACUUUAUUUUAAUUGAACUUCCAAAGGACCCAGAAAGCUGUUGGCCUUUCUUUAUAUCAUC
rnacentral:lncRNA from 1 species